rnacentral:tRNA from 1 species
AGGUAGGGUGGCCGAGUAGGCGGCGAGUUGUAGCCUCGUGCACGGGUCAAGAGCCCCCCAACCAA